rnacentral:rRNA from 1 species
CCCCUUCGGGGGACUAGUAGAGUGGCGCACGGGUGAGUAACACGUAGGUAAUCUACCUUCGGGCGGGGAAUAACAACCGGAAACGGUUGCUAAUACCGCAUAAUGCAGCGGCACCUAAUGGUGACAGUUGUUAAAGCGGGGGAUCGCAAGACCUCGCACCUGAAGAGGAGCCUGCGGCGGAUUAGCUAGUUGGUAGGGUAACAGCCUACCAAGGCAACGAUCCGUAGCCGGCCUGAGAGGGCGGUCGGCCACACUGACACUGAUAUACGGGUCAGACUCCUACGGGAGGCAGCAGUCGGGAAUUUUGGGCAAUGGGCGAAAGCCUGACCCAGCAACGCCGCGUGAAGGAUGAAAUCCCUCGGGAUGUAAACUUCGCAAGAACGGGAAGAAUAAGUCGGUGUGAAUAUCACCGGCGAUGACGGUACCGUUUGUAAGCUCCGGCUAACUCCGUGCCAGCAGCCGCGGUAAUACGGGGGGAGCAAGCGUUGUUCGGAUUUACUGGGCGUAAAGGGCGCGUAGGCGGCCUCCGCAAGUCAAUUGUGAAAUCUCCGGGCUUAACUCGGAAAGGUCAACUGAUACUGCGGGGCUAGAGUGCGGAAGGGGCAACUGGAAUUCUCGGUGUAGCGGUGAAAUGCGUAGAUAUCGAGAGGAACACCUGCGGCGAAGGCGGGUUGCUGGGCCGACACUGACGCUGAGGCGCGAAAGCUAGGGGAGCGAACGGGAUUAGAUACCCCGGUAGUCCUAGCCUUAAACGAUGAAUGCUUGG